CCAGGCUGUCGACCUGCAGCGCCUCCUCUGGUUUCAGCACGUCGGCCGCGUUUUCCUGCGUGAGCACCCAGCUCUGCCGGACGGUGAAGCGGAGUCGGGUGGCGUUGUGGCUGACCUCCAGGCAGCAGGGGGCGCUGGGCUUGACUGACGGAGGAAACAGAGCAGGUUUUACCUGAGCUGUCACAGUAAACAGAGUGAAACCUGCAGCCGGGUCUCCUAGCAACCAGGUGGAGCGGAGGAGAGUCAGGAUCAGCAGCUUCAUCCUCAGAGGAGGCCGGCGCUCCAUCAUCAUCAUCAUCAUCAUCAUCAGCCGCUGUGCCGGCGCCGGCUGAGAUCUCUGCGCUCUCUGAGGUUUGCAGCAGCAGCUUUAAAGCAAACAGAAAGAGGCGGGAUCCGUUUCUCACCAAUCACCUGCUUCACUCAAAGAGGAUGUUGUUUGUUUUGUUGUUUUAUUCUAAAAGCAGCUGAAGUGUAAAAUGAGCCUCAGGUUUAGCAGCAAAGCCUGACUUCAUCAGUGAACAUCCAGGCUGCUGGGUUUCUCUCAUUAGAUGAAUGUUUGUGAAUCAUGGAUGCUUCUGUUGGUGGGACUGUACGGACGGUUUCAUGCCAUAUUCACCAUGUGGUGAGGCUGGUUUUGAUCACUGCGCUGAUAAACAUGCAGAGAUGAAACGAAACGUGUCACGAUAGAUGUUACCAUCUGAAGAAGCAAACAGCCAGCGCUGAGCGUCGUUUCACUUUCCACUGGAGGAAACUGUAAAAAUUUAACAGGUUUAAUCACAGAAACUGAUUUUCUGCUAGAAAACGUAACUUUGUUUCAGAACGCACCGAUCUGCUGUUUUCACUUCUGAUACCGAUACCGAUAUCUGAGGUUUACUAUCGGCCGAUC